ACUUACUCUCGUAACCAUAGUAACCGCAAGGACGUUUUCUGGCUAGACAUGUCUGAAAAAGCUUUCCUGGAUGCGGCGCAUAACUACGAUUUUAUUCUUCAAAUGUAAAUAAGAAAACCUCGUCAUGCAACAAGAACUAUUUUAACUUUCUUCCUGACAAUUAAGUUUGUGUUAACCAUCAACGAGUGUCGAUUUCCUUAUUUUGAAAAUCUUUCAAGAUUUCGAGAAAAAUCCAUCAUUACAGUCUCAAAGAAGGAGAGAAGUGAUUUCUAACACAGCAAUUUUAUUCAAUUUAUGUAAAUUUUUUCAUGAAAAUAGAACUAGGUCCUAUUGUU